rnacentral:rRNA from 1 species
AACGAACGCUGGCGGCGCGCCUAAUACAUGCAAGUCGAGCGAGAAGGUGUAGCAAUACACUUGUAAAGCGGCGAACGGGUGAGGAAUACAUGGGUAAUCUACCAUCGAGUGGGGAAUAACCAGCCGAAAGGUUGGCUAAUACCGCGUACGCUUCCGAGUCUUCGGGCUUGGAAGGAAAGCCGCACUGUGAGUGCGGCGCUCUUUGAUGAGCUCAUGUCCUAUCAGCUUGUUGGUAGGGUAACGGCCUACCAAGGCUUUGACGGGUAGCUGGUCUGAGAGGACGAUCAGCCACACUGGCACUGCGACACGGGCCAGACUCCUACGGGAGGCAGCAGUAAGGAAUAUUGCGCAAUGGGCGAAAGCCUGACGCAGCGACGCCGCGUGGGGGAUGAAGGUCUUCGGAUUGUAAACCCCUUUCGGGAGGGAAGAUGGAGCGAGCAAUCGUUCGGACGGUACCUCCAGAAGCAGCCACGGCCAACUUCGUGCCAGCAGCCG